rnacentral:misc_RNA from 1 species
GAUGAAGAACGUAGCGAAAUGCGAUAAGUAAUGUGAAUUGCAGAGUUCAGUGAAUCAUCGAAUCUUUGAACGCACAUUGCGCCCGCCAGUAUUCUGGCGGGCAUGCCUGUUCGAGCGUCAUUACAACCCUCAGGCCCCCGGGCCUGGCGUUGGGGAUCGGCGGAGCCCCCCGUGGGCACACGCCGUCCCCCAAAUACAGUGGCGGUCCCGCCGCAGCUUCCAUCGCGUAGUAGCUAACACCUCGCGACUGGAGAGCGGCGCGGCCACGCCGUAAAACACCCAACUCUUCUGAAGUUGACCUCGAAUCAGGUAGGAAUACCCGCUGAACUUAAGCAUAUCAAUAAGCGGAGGA